rnacentral:rRNA from 1 species
AUGGUAAUCAGUGAUUUAAAUGAGAUAAUGUAUUCUUUUGAAAUGGAAGGGGGUAAUGAACGUCCAGAUCAAUUUGUGAAGGCUUUUAGGGAUGCGGUGGAAGACCGUAACUUGUCUGACCAUGGUUUUGUUGGUGAUAAAUUCACCUGGCAUAGAGCUUUGAUCAGGGAGAGGCUAGAUCAUGCUCACACAAAUGAUGGCUAGAAUCAAAUGUUCCCUAGCGCGAUUCUGGAACACUUGGAAUAUAACAAGUCGGAUCACAGACCAAUAAUUAUGAGUUUGCAUGAGGAAGUGGUCCAAGAACCCGUGGAAAGAUCAGUCCUCUGGUUCAAGGCACAUUGGCUGAGAGAAGAAAAGUUCAAAGAGGUGGUAGAAGAAGCUUGA